GUUGGAAGCUGCAUGGUCUUUUAUGACUUAGUCUCAGAUGACAGGCUGUGUCACUUUCUUCUCAGCCAGCUCAAGUCUGCUGAGAUUUCCACGGGUAGGCAACAUAGACCAUUGAUAAAAGGAAAAAAGUUCUAAAAAAUUUGUGGAGGCUAUUUUAUAAAAACCACCAAAACAUGCUGACUGUUGGCAGUACUUGCUGAACUAGGGAGUAUUCUGGAACUAUGUGAGGACAUCUUCAUUGUAAGAAGUUGGAUCAAGACAUCCUAGCUUCUAAAAGCAACAGGACUUCUUGUUUGGAUUAAUUAGAAUGUCAUGUUAAUAUGCUGAAAUGCCCAGCAGCAAAUCACUUUGAUGUUGACCAUUGUUGUUGAAGGUAUUGAUUUUAAUCUUAUUAAAUGAAAUAACCACGUGUCAACCUGGGGGAAAGACUGAGUGAAGACCAUCAUGAUCAUCUCAAAACUCAAAGGAAUUUGCAUCCAGAAUGGCUUAACUUUGAAAAUAGGUACCUGAGCAAAGAAAAGGGUUAAUUCAUUUGGUUGUUAUAGAUUUAGAAGAAAGCUAUGGAUUUAGAAGAAAACUCACUUGACUACCUAAAUAGCUUUAUGUCAUUUCCAGCUCUCAUAUCUCUCUACUUUGGAAGUAGAUUUUGAAACCCAGAUUCUAUUUUGAGGCUUCUCUUGCCAAAGGAAUUGUCAUGACUCUUCUCUUUACUUCACAGGACCCAACUUUCACACCAUUCUAAUCUUUUCUAAUUCAACUUCCUAUGCUUUGUUUUCAUCAAGGCAGUUAAUCAAAUAAUAACCAUAAUCAUAGUAAUAGUAAUAAUUAUGACUAUAAUUAAGUUGUAUUUAAAUACUAAGUGCUUUGCCUGUAUACAUUCAUUUUAUCCUCACAACUAUAGGAGGUAGCAACUAGUGUCAUACUGAGGCAUAGAAAGGUGAAGUAAGUCACCCAAUUUUAAGUGGCAGAGGAAAUUUUCAUGCCCACAUGGUGUGGCUCAAAGCCUGCACACUGGAACACUAUACCAGAUAGCAUGGAUUACUAGGCAGGAUUAAAGAGAAGUGGCAUAAUUGUAUCACAGUUGGUAUACUAAAGGAAAAUUUGGUAAGUAUUGUUUCUAAGACGAAUACUUUGAUUUUGUAUAACAGAACAAUAUAAGUGAAGUAAAUAUUGUUUAGGAAGGAUUUUAAGCUCAUAUUGAUUCAAACUGCCUCACUGGGGACGUGUGCCUUAAAAACCCUCUUACUCCUUUUUCAUCUUAGAGAGAGGUUUCCUUCCCUUUUUUGUGAGACAGUGUCUCACUUUGUCAGUCAGUCUGAGUGCAGUGGCAGUCAUAGCUCACCGUAGCCUCUACCUUCUGAGCUCGAGUGAGCCUCCUGUCUCAGCCUCCUGAGUAGCCACCAGCAUAGCUGGGGCUACAGGGGUGCACCACCGCAUCUUAUUUUUUGGUAGAGAUGGGAUUUCAGCAUUUUGCCCAGCCUGGUCACUUGGAGAGAGGUUUCUAGUCGCAU
rnacentral:lncRNA from 10 species